rnacentral:rRNA from 1 species
UGGGGAAUAUUGCACAAUGGGGGAAACCCUGAUGCAGCGACGCCGCGUGAGUGAAGAAGUAUUUCGGUAUGUAAAGCUCUAUCAGCAGGGAAGAAAAUGACGGUACCUGAGUAAGAAGCCCCGGCUAACUACGUGCCAGCAGCCGCGGUAAUACGUAGGGGGCAAGCGUUAUCCGGAUUUACUGGGUGUAAAGGGAGCGCAGACGGCUCUGCAAGUCUGAAGUGAAAGCCCGCGGCUUAACCGCGGGACUGCUUUGGAAACUGCAAGGCUUGAGUAUCGGAGGGGCAGGCGGAAUUCCUAGUGUAGCGGUGAAAUGCGUAGAUAUUAGGAAGAACACCGGUGGCGAAGGCGGCCUGCUGGACGAAAACUGACGUUGAGGCUCGAAGGCGUGGGGAGCAAACAGGAUUAGAUACCCUGGUAGUCCACGCGGUAAACGAUGAAUACUAGGUGUUGGUGCCCGGAGGGCAUCGGUGCCGUCGCAAACGCAAUAAGUAUUCCACCUGGGGAGUACGUUCGCAAGAAUG